GACGAACGCUGGCGGCGUGCUUAACACAUGCAAGUCGAACGGAAAGGCCCUGCUUGCAGGGUACUCGAGUGGCGAACGGGUGAGUAACACGUGGGUGAUCUGCCCUGCACUUCGGGAUAAGCCUGGGAAACUGGGUCUAGUACCGGAUAGGAGCCAUUUUUAGUGUGAUGGUUGGAAAGUUUUUUCGGUGUAGGAUGAGCUCGCGGCCUAUCAGCUUGUUGGUGGGGUAAUGGCCUACCAAGGCGGCGACGGGUAGCCGGCCUGAGAGGGUGGACGGCCACAUUGGGACUGAGAUACGGCCCAGACUCCUACGGGAGGCAGCAGUGGGGAAUAUUGCACAAUGGGCGCAAGCCUGAUGCAGCGACGCCGCGUGGGGGAUGACGGCCUUCGGGUUGUAAACUCCUUUCGCUAGGGACGAAGCUUUUUGUGACGGUACCUAGAGAAGAAGCACCGGCUAACUACGUG
rnacentral:rRNA from 1 species